rnacentral:rRNA from 1 species
UACGAAGGGUGCAAGCGUUACUCGGAAUUACUGGGCGUAAAGCGUGCGUAGGUGGUGAGUUAAGUCUGUCGUGAAAGCCCCGGGCUCAACCUGGGAAUGGCGAUGGAUACUGGCUCGCUAGAGUCCGGAAGAGGAGAGUGGAAUUCCUGGUGUAGCGGUGAAAUGCGCAGAUAUCAGGAAGAACACCCGUGGCGAAGGCGGCUCUCUGGGACGGUACUGACGCUGAGACGCGAAAGCGUGGGGAGCGAACAGG